rnacentral:rRNA from 1 species
UACGUAGGGGGCGAGCGUUAUCCGGAUUUACUGGGCGUAAAGCGCGCGCAGGCGGUCUCUUAAGUCUGAUGUGAAAUCCCGUGGCUUAACCACGGGCGGUCAUUGGAAACUGGGGGACUUGAGUGCAGAAGAGAAGAGCGGAAUUCCACGUGUAGCGGUGAAAUGCGUAGAGAUGUGGAGGAACACCAGUGGCGAAGGCGGCUCUUUGGUCUGUAACUGACGCUGAGGCGCGAAAGCGUGGGGAGCGAACAGG